AUGGAUCUUCGGGGUAAGGUGAAAUUCCUGACCGGCGGUGAUGGUUCGUUAUAUGUAGAAACGUUCCUCAGCCCGCGACUCUCCGUUUUGAAACUCAAGACGGCGACUGACUUGGUGCAAUUCCAAGGCCGACGGUAUAGUCCGGAUGGGAGAAGAUCAAA
rnacentral:ncRNA from 2 species